UAUUACAUUGAAAAACCAGUUCCUGUGCGAUCACUGAAGUUAAGCAAUGUUGAUCCUGGUCAGGACUUAGAUGGGUGACCGCUUAGGAAAUCUAGGUGCUGUAAG